rnacentral:rRNA from 1 species
UACGUAGGAGGCGAGCGUUGUCCGGAGUUACUGGGCGUAAAGGGCACGCAGGCGGUGCGGCGCGUUUCGCGUGACAGCGGAGGGCUUAACUCUCCGAGGAUGCGAAAGACGGCGGCACUUGAGGGCCAGAGAGGGACACGGAAUUCCGGGUGGAGUGGUGAAAUGCGUAGAGAUCCGGAGGAACACCGAAGGCGAAGGCAGUGUCCUGGCUGGUGACUGACGCUGAGGUGCGAAAGCUAGGGGAGCGAACGGG